GACGAACGCUGGCGGCGUGCUUAACACAUGCAAGUCGAACGGAAAGGCCCUGCUUUUGUGGGGUGCUCGAGUGGCGAACGGGUGAGUAACACGUGAGUAACCUGCCCUUGACUUUGGGAUAACUUCAGGAAACUGGGGCUAAUACCGGAUAGGAGCUCCUGCUGCAUGGUGGGGGUUGGAAAGUUUCGGCGGUUGGGGAUGGACUCGCGGCUUAUCAGCUUGUUGGUGGGGUAGUGGCUUACCAAGGCUUUGACGGGUAGCCGGCCUGAGAGGGUGACCGGCCACAUUGGGACUGAGAUACGGCCCAGACUCCUACGGGAGGCAGCAGUGGGGAAUAUUGCACAAUGGGCGGAAGCCUGAUGCAGCAACGCCGCGUGCGGGAUGACGGCCUUCGGGUUGUAAACCGCUUUCGCCGGUGACGAAGCGUGAGUGACGGUAAUGGGUAAAGAAGCACCGGCUAACUACGUA
rnacentral:rRNA from 1 species